UGCAGUCGAGCGGAACGAUCCUAGCUUGCUAGGAGGCGUCGAGCGGCGGACGGGUGAGUAAUGCAUAGGAAUCUGCCCGGUAGUGGGGGAUAACUUGAGGAAACUCAAGCUAAUACCGCAUACGCCCCAAGGGGGAAAGCAGGGGAUCUUCGGACCUUGCGCUAUCGGAUGAGCCUAUGUCGGAUUAGCUAGUUGGUGAGGUAAUGGCUCACCAAGGCCGCGAUCCGUAGCUGGUCUGAGAGGAUGAUCAGCCACAUCGGGACUGAGACACGGCCCGAACUCCUACGGGAGGCAGCAGUGGGGAAUAUUGGACAAUGGGCGAAAGCCUGAUCCAGCCAUGCCGCGUGUGUGAAGAAGGCCUUCGGGUUGUAAAGCACUUUCAGCGAGGAAGAACGCUUGUGGGUUAAUACCCUGCAAGAAGGACAUCACUCGCAGAAGAAGCACCGGCUAACUCCGUGCCAGCAGCCGCGGUAAUACGGAGGGUGCAAGCGUUAAUCGGAAUUACUGGGCGUAAAGCGCGCGUAGGCGGCUUGAUAAGCCGGUUGUGAAAGCCCCGGGCUCAACCUGGGAACGGCAUCCGGAACUGUCAGGCUAGAGUGCAGGAGAGGAAGGUAGAAUUCCCGGUGUAGCGGUGAAAUGCGUAGAGAUCGGGAGGAAUACCAGUGGCGAAGGCGGCCUUCUGGACUGACACUGACGCUGAGGUGCGAAAGCGUGGGUAGCAAACAGGAUUAGAUACCCUGGUAGUCCACGCCGUAAACGAUGUCGACUAGCCGUUGGGGGUCCUCGAGACCUUUGUGGCGCAGUUAACGCGAUAAGUCGACCGCCUGGGGAGUACGGCCGCAAGGUUAAAACUCAAAUGAAUUGACGGGGGCCCGCACAAGCGGUGGAGCAUGUGGUUUAAUUCGAUGCAACGCGAAGAACCUUACCUACUCU
rnacentral:rRNA from 1 species